GGUAUAAUCACUGUCGUCAGUAUUGACACGGAUUUCUGUUCCUUUUAUGUUAUAAUAUAAUGUAUAAAACGAGUAUAUAGACGUUUUUUUUUUUAAAUGUAUUUUUUAUAUCAGCAGAAAACGCGUUUCGACGUAUGCGGAAACUCGGCACAAUGAAAGAAGUGUCACAGAUUGCCAGUAUCCUUAAAAUUAUUUUUCACAGUCCAAAGUGAACGAGAACAAGGUUAUUCCGUUUAGUGAAUACCGUCCGAGUCUGGUUAUUACCCGGGGCAAGAUCCCGACACGGUACAGCAAGAUUUCAAGAGAAUAAGCUAGACCUGACAAUUGCUGUCGUAUAGUGUGUUAUUUGAUGGAAAUGUGACAGCAAUUUCUCCAACCUCAGCAAGCUCUUCACCGCCAAACAACAUUUUAGAUAACACAUUUGAUAUGCAUAAUGAGACGCAAGAUAUUCUCAGAGCAUAGUUAUACAAUUUAAUUGACAGCUUACAACAGUCAUUCGAUGUAAAUGAUGGUCCUGAUUUUUUCAACAUGCAUCCACCACAUCUAUCAAAUCAACCAACGUAUGCAGAUUUCUUAACACCAUUACGCAGAAUUAAACAUAAACUCUUUUAAUAAUUAUAUAUAAAUUAAUAUUUUUUUGUGAAA